AGCGCAACCCUCGCCCUUUGUUGCCAUCGGGUAAAGCCGGGCACUCUAAGGGGACUGCCAGCGACAAGUUGGAGGAAGGAGAGGAUGACGUCAAGUCAUCAUGGCCUUUAUGCCUAGGGCCACACACGUGCAACAAUGGCCGGUACAGACGGAGGCAAUGCCGAGAGGCGGAGCAAACCCGAGAAAACCGGUCCCAGUUCGGAUUGAGGUCUGCAACUCGACCUCAUGAAGUCGGAAUCGCUAGUAAUCGCAUAUCAGAACGAUGCGGUGAAUACGUUCCCGGGCCUUGUACACACCGCCCGUCACACCACGAAAGUUUGUUGUACCCGAAGUCGGUGCCUUAACCUCGCAAGAGGAGAGAGCCGCCCAAGGUAUGGCCGAUGAUUGGGGUGAAGUCGUAACAAGGUAGCCGUAGGGGAACCUGCGGCUGGAUCACCUCCUUUCUAGGAGAGAAGGGUCCUGGAUGAAGCGCUCCUAUUUAG
rnacentral:rRNA from 1 species